rnacentral:rRNA from 1 species
CCUACGGGGGGCAGCAGUGAGGAAUAUUGGUCAAUGGACGCAAGUCUGAACCAGCCAUGCCGCGUGCAGGAUGACGGCUCUAUGAGUUGUAAACUGCUUUUGUACGAGGGUAAUAUCGGAUACGUGUAUCUGCUUGAAAGUAUCGUACGAAUAAGGAUCGGCUAACUCCGUGCCAGCAGCCGCGGUAAUACGGAGGAUCCAAGCGUUAUCCGGAUUUAUUGGGUUUAAAGGGUGCGUAGGCGGUUUUAUAAGUUAGAGGUGAAAAUUCGGGGCUCAACUCCGGACGUGCCUCUAAUACUGUAUGA